CGACACAGAUGAGAUUUCAUUAAACAUUUGAGAACCUUCAGUUUGAUGGUUUGAUACAAUUGGAAUAGUGGAUGAAACUAUAGAAGUCAUAACGUCAACUCCAGCUUCUGAAACACCAUUUUCAGCCAAAAGCCCUUGCACAAUGUCCUUGUAACCAGUAGAAGAAUUUUGUCCUUCGUGGAAAGGAUUAUCGUUAUCAAUUAUAGAAAAACUUUCGACCGAAGGGCUUUUCUGGGGAAAUGAAUCACUUUCGCUACUUUUAAAGUCAAAUGAUUGUUGAUUUGAGUAGCUUCCCGUUCCAAUAUUAUCUUUUUCAAUUAAAAAUCCUUCACCGUUUGAAUCAAUCGCUUUGUUAUCUGAGCUUCCGAUAAUUUCUAAAUCUUCAUCUGCAUCAAUAUCUUUUGAUGACGAUAUCGCAAAUUCAUCAACAUCUAUUACAGGUUCAUGAAUAAAGUCUUCUUCUAAGUUUUGUUUAUGGCUGAACUUGAUACAAUUUCUCACAUGAGUAUCAAGCUUUGAGACCCAUUCAGAAACAGGAAACCGCUGAAUAGUAGAAAUAGCUCGAAGUUUGGUGCGCACAGACUUUGAAGAUGUUAAGGCUUGACGACAGGCUUCUUCAAACUGGCAGAGCAAAUGUGCAGUUGUGUUAGAUUCGAUGGUAUACCACCAUCCCGGCAUCUGUCCAAGGCCUCCAACUUUGGCACCAAUACCCAAUGUUCCUUUCCUACCAAAUUCAACAGCCACCAAACCAAAAGGUUCAUCUCUUGAGGGUAUCAAAGCAAAAUCUGCGCCACUGAAUAUGUAAGAAGGAAGUUGAGUAAAGAGAGGCCUAGAGUAUAUUCGACCAGGAUACUUCUUCAUUAAAGCCGUGAACUUUUCAGCAGCAAAUUUUCCAUAAAGAUCAAUGACAGGGCCAACCACAACAAUUUGGGAAUUGAAAUUUUCUAAUAGGGUAGGAGUGAUGUCUGCAAUUAAAUCAAUGCCCUUUUGCAACGUCCAUCGACCCACAAAUAUCAAAAGAUCUGCCUCAGGAUCAAUAUUGAGAUUUGCCCAUUCUUGAGCUGAACGCUUAUGUUUUGCUUUGAUGUUUUCAAACUCAUUCAUGGAAUUCGCGUCAAGGUCUUUAAAAUUGGUACCAUUAUCUGCUGGGUCGGGAUUUGGGAGUUUACCGAUUUUCCUCAAUCCCCAAAAUAUGGGAUAUCUAGCCCAAGAUCGUUUUCCGUAUUUACUGGAAACACCCACCACUCCGUAGCCUUUUUGAUGAAUUCGAAUAUAUGAGGCGCCAGCAUGCAACAGAUUAAAAACAUUACCAAAUUGAACAUAUUUAGAACAAACAGAUUUAGAUAUAUUGAAAACCGAACAAACCUCCUCUUUCUCAGAAGAGUUCCUAAGGGGCCAAAGUCCUUGGAAUUCAGCAUUGUGCAAAGACAGUGCCACUGGGAUUAUUUUUGGAAGCAAAUAUAGCGGAGCAAGAGAACCGUGAUAAUCAUUCAUGUGAUAUAAAUCGAUAUUGUUUCUUGAUAUUACACUAGCAAUGCAUUGAUUCCAAGCAGAAUAGAAAAUAGCCGAGCUUAGAUCGUCAGCACGAGAUGGAUACGGUUUUCCGCUUGUUUGUCUUCGGAAAAUUGGAGCGUCAAGGAGUAUGUAUAUUAUGUUUCCGAUCACAUAUUUAUAAACGUUAAUGAAAUACGUUUGGUCGAUGAUUACUACUUCGAUAGGAUCAUCUUCUUCAACGUUUGAGUAAGACACAUCCCCGACACAAGGUAUCACCCAAAUGAUGUCUUCAUGUUCUAAAUGUCGGGCCAUUAGUUGCGCCAUGACGCCCAAUCCGCCAAUUUUGAUGCAAAUAUUCAAAGAAGGGAUAUCGUAUUCAAGUGUUGCAAGAAGAACAGUCCUUCUUUUGCCUUUGUCGCCAUCGUUCAAAACUUCUUCUCCUUUGAUUUUGUUUGAGCAGG